rnacentral:tRNA from 1 species
GAGGGUAUACCUCAAGUGGUAGAGCGCAUGCUUAGCAUGCAUGAGGUCCUGGGUUCAUCCCAGCACCUCCU